AAAAUGCACACUUUACUAGGUAUUUCGGCAAAUUCGAGAUUGUUAAACACAAACGCUUGAUCAAUAACCUAUUUUUUUGUAACUGGCAAAAUGCCAGAAUUUCAACUGAUUACGCCUACUGUAAGAGAAAGCAAAUGGCGUAACCUUAUCCUAGGUCAAGAAUGUUUUCACAAAAAAAUAUUGUUGACUGAAUAAGAUAAAUUGUUAACAAUAGAACCGAAUUAUUGAAUCGUUAUAACAGAAUUUAAAAUAUCUAACUAAAGUAAGAAUUUCUAGACACUAGAGAGACUCUAGAGAGAAUCCACUUGACCUAAAACACCGAGAAAACGUGUUGGUUUGUUAAUGAAUGGUCAAUCAGGAUUUUUUUUUUUUUGGAUUAAAAAAACCAUGUGAUUUUUUUCUUUCAAAAAAACGAGAGUUUUUGUUUGCUGAAAUGAGAAAUAAUUAUUUUAUAACACAUCGAUUAAAUUCAAUUAUUGAUGGAAUUAACCUUAUUAAUCGUUGAUAAACGAAAAAUUUAUUCGAAAAUUUAUUAAAUAUAAAUUAAAGUAGAAUAUGACAAGGAAGAGAGAGAGCAAAGAAGAAAAGAAUAAACUAUUUAAGAAAAUAUAUAGAUAGAUACGUAUAUUACAUCGAUAUCUAAAGAGAAGAAAGACGGCGCGCUGCGACACGAUGGCAGUAACGUCGGAUGACCGCCAACAUUGACAAUCGCGCGCAACCAAUCGAUGGCCCACUGCCACUUUGCUUCUGCCUACAACCCGUCUUUCUUACUUUCUCUCUACCUCUCUUUUUAAUCCCCUUCUUUGACACACCCCAUUCUCUAUUUGUUCCUCCACUCUUCAACUCGAUUUACUUUAUGCUCCCUUUUCACAUUUUCGCUCCUAUUUUAUUACAAUUAUUUUGAUCAAAGACUAUUUUUUCUUCCUUUUUUCUUCCUCUUUCCACUUCAAGUUAGAUUUCCAAAGUACAGACGAUUAUUCUUACAAGGAAUAUUUUCUCUUCUAUUCCGAUCAUUCAUCGAGGUAAGCGUGUAAUCGUACUUUUCACAAAAUGAUAUGAUUUCCAUCGUUAUUCUUUGACUGCAACACAUUUCACAUACGAUGUUUUUGAAUACAUAUUCACUUAUCUUUUUUUUUUUUUCUUCCAUCAGUCUAUUUCUCCUUGUUGCCGAAAGUUUAUCUCUAUCCUCGCGAGUGUUUCCCCAGUGAUGUGCAACGUCAGUGGCCGCGUCGGCGUCGGCGUCGGCGUCAGGACAUCAGUGUCGGUGUCACUAGCGUCGGCGCUAUCAUAUCGGUGGUUGGUUAGUAGACGAACGAAGGCGGUCGAGUAACGUUGGGACACGUCGUGAUCAUUGAGAGUUCAAUCCGUCCACUCUCUUUAACCUUCGUUCACACUUGUUAAUAACGGUGGAAAGUUUGUAAAUCGUAUAUAUCAGAGAAAACUCUAAACUAUCCUUUUCUUUUUUUCUUUUUCAUAGAUCGCAUUGUCAUAUAACGACGCGUCUAGAAAAGUAACGAAUAAUUUGAUAUUUGUAACGCAAAACAAGAUUCUCAGUGUAUUCGAGCGCGAUAACAUGAACACAGGAUGAUCUGUCGAUAUUCGGGGACACUGUGGCCGUGUAUUGCUUGAAAAAAAAGGUGUGGCGGACGGAAAGAAGAAGGGAUUGAUAACCGAUUGGAAAAGGAAAUAUCGAAAAGUAUAUAUCCUGAGGGAGCAGAAUGAUCGAUCCGAGCUCGUCAGAGUCGGAAAGCGAGGAGGACCAGAGUUCUCAACACGUCGGAAGUGUCGGUGGCGGUAGUGGCGGAGGCAGCGGUGGAGCUCG
rnacentral:lncRNA from 1 species